UUUUUUUUUUUNUGAAUGGCAUCACGAGGGCUUAACUGUCUCCCCUCCCCAGUCAAUGAAAUUGAUCUCCCCGUGCAGAAGCGGGGAUAAUACCAUAAGACGAGAAGACCCUAUGGAGCUUUAGACGUCAGAGCAGCCCAUGUAAAGCACCCCUUAACAAAGGAAAAAACCAAAUGAAGCCUGCCCUAAUGUCUUUGGUUGGGGCGACCGCGGGGAAAUACAAAACCCCCAUGUGGAGUAGGAAUACACAUUCCUAAACCCAAGAGCUCCCGCUCUAAUGAACAGAAAUUCUGACCAAUAAGAUCCGGCACACGCCGAUCAACGGACCGAGUUACCCUAGGGAUAACAGCGCAAUCCCCUUAAAGAGCCCUUAUCGACAAGGGGGUUUACGACCUCGAUGUUGGAUCAGGACAUCCUAAUGGUGCAGCCGCUAUUAAGGGUUCGUUUGUUCAACGAU
rnacentral:rRNA from 1 species